CGGUUGAUCCUGCCGGACCCGACUGCUAUCAGAGUGGGACUAAGCCAUGCGAGUCAACGCCGAAAGGCGUGGCAUACGGCUCAGUAACACGUAGUCAACAUGCCCAGGGGACGUGGAUAACCUCGGGAAACUGAGGAUAAACCGCGAUAGGUCAUAAUUACUGGAAUGUGUUAUGGCCCAAAUCUAUAUGGCCUCUGGAUUGGACUGCGGCCGAUCAGGCUGUUGGUGAGGUAAUGGCCCACCAAACCUUUUACCGGUACGGGCUCUGAGAGGAGGAGCCCGGAGAUGGGCACUGAGACAAGGGCCCAGGCCCUAUGGGGCGCAGCAGGCGCGAAACCUCUGCAAUAGGCGAAAGCCUGACAGGGUUACUCUGAGUGAUUCCCGCUAAGGGAAUCUUUUGGCAUCUCUAAAAAUGGUGCAGAAUAAGGGGUGGGCAAGUCUGGUGUCAGCCGCCGCGGUAAUACCAGCACCCCGAGUGGUCGGGACGAUUAUUGGGCCUAAAGCAUCCGUAGCCGGUCUUGCAAGUCUUCCGUUAAAUCCAGCUGCUUAACAGAUGGGCUGCGGAGGAUACUACAAGGCUAGGAGGCGGGAGAGGCAAGCGGUACUCAGUGGGUAGGGGUAAAAUCCUCUGAUCCAUUGAAGACCACCAGUGGCGAAGGCGGCUUGCCAGAACGCGCUCGACGGUGAGGGAUGAAAGCUGGGGGAGCAAACCGGAUUAGAUACCCGGGUAGUCCCAGCUGUAAACAAUGCA
rnacentral:rRNA from 1 species